GACGAACGCUGGCGGCGUGCUUAACACAUGCAAGUCGAACGGAAAGGCCCUGCUUGCCGGGUACUCGAGUGGCGAACGGGUGAGUAACACGUGGGUGAUCUGCCCUGCACUUCGGGAUAAGCCUGGGAAACUGGGUCUAAUACCGGAUAGGAGCCAUUUUUAGUGUGAUGGUUGGAAAGUUUUUUUCGGUGUAGGAUGAGCUCGCGGCCUAUCAGCUUGUUGGUGGGGUAAUGGCCUACCAAGGCGGCGACGGGUAGCCGGCCUGAGAGGGUGGACGGCCACAUUGGGACUGAGAUACGGCCCAGACUCCUACGGGAGGCAGCAGUGGGGAAUAUUGCACAAUGGGCGCAAGCCUGAUGCAGCGACGCCGCGUGGGGGAUGACGGCCUUCGGGCUGUAAACUCCUUUCGCUAGGGACGAAGCUUUUUGUGACGGUACCUAGAUAAGAAGCACCGGCUAACUACGUG
rnacentral:rRNA from 1 species